rnacentral:rRNA from 1 species
UACGUAGGGACCAAGCGUUGUUCGGAUUUACUGGGCGUAAAGGGCGCGUAGGCGGCAAAUUAAGUCAUCUGUGAAAUCUCCGAGCUUAACUCGGAACGGUCAGGUGAUACUGAUCUGCUAGAGUGCGGAAGGGGCAAUCGGAAUUCUUGGUGUAGCGGUGAAAUGCGUAGAUAUCAAGAGGAACACCUGAGGUGAAGACGGGUUGCUGGGCCGACACUGGCGCUGACAGCGCGAAAGCCAGGGGAGCAAACGGG